GACGAACGCUGGCGGCGUGCUUAACACAUGCAAGUCGAACGAAGUGGCGAACGGGUGAGUAACGCGUAAUCAACCUGCCCUUCAGAGGGGGACAACAGUUGGAACCGACUGCUAAUACCGCAUACUGAUGGGGGGGAUUGCGUCGGAUUGGCUAGUUGGAGGGGUAACGGCCCACCAAGGCGAUGAUCAGUAGCCGGGCUGAGAGGAUGAACGGCCACAAUGGGACGUAGAAACGGGCCAGACUCCUACGGGAGGCAGCAGGGGGGAAACUUCCGCAAUGGACGAAAGUCUGACGGAGCAACGCCGCGGGAGUGAUGACGGCCUUCGGGUUGUAAAGCUCUGUUAAUCGGGACGCGGUACCGGAAGAGAAAGCCACGGCUAACUACGUGCCAGCAGCCGCGGUAAUUC
rnacentral:rRNA from 1 species